AGGGGGACGUCGCCAUCCCCUAGGGCACUGUUGCACGCCUCGGCCACCUCCUACCCUGGCUUUCUUCCUCCUGAUUUGUGUCGUGUCAUUUUCCUGUAAUUCCUGUGCAUUUCCCGUACUGCCGACAGAAGUAAACCCGUGGAUGAACGCGCUGAACAAAAAUUCUGGAGGUUGGGAAGUUAUGAUCAAGGCAUCAGUAGAUUCAGUGUCUGGUGAGGACCCACUUACUCAUUCAUAAACUGGUGAUUGGAUGAAAUUAAAGUUUGAAAUUAAAGACCAGUAGAUUCCAAAGGAGACUGAAAUAAUACCUUCGGAAGUUCAAGUGUGAUGUAACAGUAUACUAGAGAGGAAGACGUGGAAAUUCAACAAUAUCACACAAGAGAGUUGAAGAAUCAGAGGUGGUGGUUUGGCACCUCCUAUGACACACAGAUCCCAGGUCGUGUUGCCACAAAGCUUUACAUCGAAACACCUGCCUGCUUUUGCCCAGCCUUUGUGUUGUCCAGAUGGAGCAGGUGAACCUGCAGGAGCGAGGCCUUUGUUUGCUUUGCAAGUGGAAUGUUUCCUAAGGGAAUGAAUGGUGUAUCUUUCUUUUUGGUAAGAAAAUAUUUUUGGCAGAGUUUUAGAAAGGUAGUACAGCUGCUACAUUGGAUAUCAAAUACUAACCUGUAAUUCCUGUUAAAACAUUUGCCGUCAAUAAAAACAAGGCCCCCCACCAUGUAAAUCAUAAUAAAAUGUGGGAUCUAUGUGUGAAUUUACAUAAAUAGCCAAUUCGUAUAACUGUGCUCACUCAAAACGAAACCUUUAGCAUAAACAUUUAAGACUCUAUAGAUCCAGGCCGAUUUUAACAUAUACCUUUUUUUUUUUUAUUAAAUAUGUAAAAAGAUAAAUGCAAGUCAAGUUAUUCACAUAUUCAGAGACAAAAAACUAUUCUACCAUGCGACAGUAGGUGGGUAAUGUAAAAUGAAUGUGAUACAUCUGAAUAAGA